UGAGCCGGACAGUAGUCUAAGAAUUACUUUAUUGCACUCGUCGUAGGGAGUGUGUAGUCCUGACAGGAAGCAUGGAAGAGGCACUCUACUGGUCUCAGCUAGACGGCUGUGAUGAUCCGAUCCUUCUCAUCCAUGAAGCUUCUGUGGACUUGCUCCAACUUCCUGCAGCAAGGGGGUUGCAUUUAACCCUGGGACUCCAGUCUCUGAUGUCCCUUUAGUCCUGCCAUCCCCCAUCCAGUUCUAGGGUCUCUCAUUGCUUUCCAUCUGUGGGGACUUCAGACUAACAGUGCCUGGGAUGGAUGGGAACAGGGACACUGAGAGGCCCAGGCUCGUACAGGUCUCCCUAACACCCCAAGGGUCGAGCUGUUCUGCUGAAGAUGUGUAAGCAGCUUUGCACCUGGGGGUGCUCCUGCCAGUAACCUAGGAAGGGUUGUAUGUCCACUUCCAUAACUGAACUAGGCAGGCUGCUGGCAAUGGACACUGGCCUUCAGGUAUCUUGACACCUGAGAAAAUCCACGUCAUCGCACACAUGAGAGUGGGAGACACCAACUGCCAAAUGAGCAACUGCCAAAUGAGGACUCAUUCUGACCAUGUCUACCAACAAGGGCUCAUAUCAGUCUCAGGACCCUGCCUGGGCAGCGACCCUCACUCUCAGGCCUGCCCAUCCUUCAAGAAGGCCAGAGGUCAGAAAUCGGGACUUCUUCCCACCUUUCAAGCCCUCCCCACCUGCCAGCUCCCUACUCUCCAUAUGCUUUGGUCCGGGUUUCUCAAGAACAGACAGGCAGGACAAUAAAACCAAGGGCAGUGACUCAGGAAGGAUCCCUGGCCUGGGUCCCCAGCCUUUCCUCCUACCUGGGCAGACCCUGAGCACCUCCCUCCUAUAGCCAUGCAGGCUGAAUGAAUGUGGCACUGGCAGCUAGCUGCUCCUGGGAACGUGGAGUGCACCCGUCUGGCUCAGACUUCCUCUUCCUCCCUCCCUACCUGGGAGGCACAUGUACCUCUUUGGACUUGAUGAAGAAAGCUCGCUUAACUUCUUCGGCACUGGCUCCAGGAUGCACACCCAACAGUUCAUAAUAAUUACUGGGACCAGACCUGUGGAGAGAGGCCCAAA